CAAACACCUCCUCUCAUACGGCCCUCACCAAAAAUUACAACAAAAAAAGUGCAUUUCUUCUCAAUAAUUCAGAAAAAAUGGCUACUUCUUCUUCGACCCUUAAACCUCUCCUUAUUCUUCCCUCUUCCCACUCCACCCUUUCCUCAAAAUCCCCCAAACCCUCAACAACUCACUUCCCUUCAAAUAUCUCAACACUCCCAUCUCUUAAAUCAAAGCCUUCUAAGGGUUUUGCUUCCCCAGAGCUGCUUGACACUUUAGAAACCCUAGACGAUUCCACUGAACCCUUAGACAGAGCCAGUUUGGAAGCUUAUAAGGUUGCUGCUGGUUCUGAAAUUCAUGGUACACCUAAAAUUUCCAUUGAGGAUGAUUGCAUUGAUAAGCCUAGGACAUGCAACUUUGUAAAGUCACCUCCAUUUGGACCAGCCUCGAGUAAUUGUGCUACUGCUAUUGAUGUUCAAACGAUGUUGUUAAACGCUUACCUGUCACUUGGAAGGUCUCAAGUGGGUAAAGUAUCAGAUUCCACAUUGAGAGAGUUUUGAAAUUGGCUUAUUGAAGUUUUAUGGAUCAAUCAGAUCUGCCAUAUUGACUUGUAAGGAGGCAACUCAAUCCCGUCAAGCCUAACCCAACUGUGUUUGAAUGUCUAAGGUCUUCGUAAUUACUAAUCAGGUCACUCCAAAGAUGAAGUUUAAACAGUUUUCUAUCCACGAGGUUGUCAGCAUUAGUGUUUUAGUUUUCCUGUCUGGUAAAAAUGUAAAAUCAUAGUUUUGUAUAAGCUAAGCAAAGCCUGGUAAGUAAUGGUAAAGGUAUUUAAUACAAGGAACUGCAAAAGAAGAGACAUUUUUUUUGAAGAAAUCCACUCUCAUUGACUCAUUAACAAGGGGAGCCUUCUGUUAGCAUGAGUUACAAAUUAGUAAACCUUUUGGUCCAUCGGAAGGGUUGGACUUUGUAACUCCUCAUACUCUUUAUCUGUUUGACAAGCGAAAUGAUACUGUUGAAUACCUGCUGGUCAUAAUUCAUAUGCAGUAAAUCAGAUGAAACUGACACCGAAGAUUAGAAUCAAACUAAAGGUCUUAUUAUGUGCCCUUAAUAGAGGAAUCGUGCAAGCUGACCAAGGAUGCAGCAAAAACAUCAAACACGAAGACUAUGUGUCCUGUAUAUCUACCCACCAAGAAGGGAAUUUAUUGUGUUCUCAAAUCUCCUCAAGGUCACAAAGAUGCAAGAUUCCAUUUCGAAAUCAGGACUCACCAGCGUCUCAUCGAUAUUCUCUAUCCAACUGAACAAACUCUAGAGUCAUUGAAGAUUCGAGUUUCCUCCUGCAGUUGAUGUUGAUGUCAAGCUGUGAUCAGAGACUGCUGCAACUUGGGUGAGAAACAUAAUCUUAACAUUUUUUGCUUGUGUGUUCAGAAAUUGCAUGUUCUUGGUAGUACGCCAAAUGAUCCCUUGCUUCAUUACAUUUUCAGUACUUUAUGGAGUUCUAAUUGAAAACAUGGGUAGGGUUUUGAAGGCCCACUUAGAAUCUCAAUGUUGAAAAAAAUCAAAUGGUAUGUGUCAUUAUGAACUUUAGAAGUUGAAAACCUAAUCUCUUUAGUCUCUGCGUGCAAGAAACCAAACAUUCUUUAGCUAAAGUUUCUGGUUCUUCCUGCCGAAUGGGUGAUACGUCAAGUUACAGUUGGUUUCUUUCAAUAGUCUCCACAAAGUGAAGCUGACUCUGAUGAGUUUUGCUCCUUAUCCUUUUCGGUCAAGCAAUUUUCUAUAUGUCCCAUUUUUUUAUUCUGCUUAAGCUUGCUAGCUUAGAAGGUUCAUCUUUGCAGUCAAUGCGAACUCGAGCACAUUCACUACAGAAACUUGCUAGGGAUGGUGUCUUAAGUUCUUGCGUCUAUGUCAAUUGGGAGACUCGAAUACAUGGUACAUGUUAAGUGAUACAAGUGAGAAAAGAAUUGAGAUUACCUCUAAGAUCACUGAGGACUGAACAGUUGAUAAGAUUAAGGCCACAGAUCUAGACAGGAUUUCAGAGAUAGAGUUUGGGAAGCAAACCAAGCUAACAGUUGGUGAAAGUAGUGUGUAAUUAGUUGACCAUCCAGGAGCCGCAAGGCCCACAACCAUUCAUAGAAGAACGAUACAAUUGCAAUGGUGGUCAUGGGAGGUUCAGCAUCCUGUAAACACAAGCGUCUCUCUGUAUAACUCAAGCUUAAAACAUGGGCAUAUUCCUCGUACCAGUGUUAUGCCAGCCUCGUCAUAUCCUGCCCCAAUAAUGGUGGUCACUGGUAUCAAUAUCCUUUCGUAGAGAUGUCAUCUAAACGGAUUGAGUUCUGCAAGUAGAAUCUACAGAUGGCAGAGAUACUGGAAUAUUUGGCACUCUGGCCUCAAGAGCGGUUUGACAUUAUGAAGUAGGAUUUUGAUCGUGGAAAUUUAAGGCUGAGUUGUUGGAGCAAGGUCUGACUUCCCGUGCUGGAAAAUCAAAGGUGAAGCAGUUGAGGAUCAGCUGAAGAAAGCAUGUCUGCAGCUGAUUGAAGCAAAGGAUGAACUGGAAGAGAAAUACUAAACUCUUGUCACAAUCCCAUUGAAUAGGCAAACGAAGGUUUAUGAUUUCUACCAUGUUGUAAUGCCAAUUGGUAUCUCUGAGCUAAAUUAUCUGUCCAAAUUGCUAUGUCUACAGUACUGUCUGAGUGAAACUAUCAGAUACACUUGUUGAGUUGAGCCAUUUCUGUCAGGCACCUCUUUACACAGAAUUUAGACUGCACCCUCAGUCUGUUUCUAAAACUUGUGCUCUUCCAUUUUAGGUUGUUAUUUUUCCUCUUCCAUUUUAGUUGGCCAUAAGUUCGGUUUAGGAUUACUGGUUUGUUGUAAUUUUUGCUUGCCUCAAAAAAGGUUGUUCCAUUUCAAGCUUAAAACUGGGAAACAUUGUUGUGAACUCCAAAUAAAUUGUUACAUGAAAUAAAAUUCACU